AGCAGGUUUCCGUAGCAACGGCACCGGGAGGCGCACGGCGCGGGUCCGUGAUAUCACUGGACGCCGAGGGUGUGGGAGCAGCGAGUAGAGAUGGUCCUGGUGGUGGUAUUUUCAUCUUUAUAAGAGCCCCUGGAUGGAAGGACAGAGCACCCCUGGAUGAACAGUGCACCCCUGGAGGACACAGCAAGUCCUUGAUGGACGGACAGAGUACCCCUAGAUGGACAAAGCAUCCCUGGAAUACACAGCAGCCCCUUGAUGAACAGACAGAGCACCCCUAGAUGGACAGAGCACACCUGGAUGGACACAGCAGACCCUUGUCGGACACAGCAGCCCCUUGAUGGACAAUGCAGCAGCACCCCUGGUGUGUAGCAUUUUGUAUGCAGAUUUAGGCCAUGCAUGACUGGAGUGAAAUGGUGCUGAGUCCCGGCUCCGGCCUACCUGACAUAGAAUCCAAAACCAAUGAGAAUCUGGUGAUGGAAGGAUGACAUUCAGCCUCAAUCUGGAAUCCAAGUCUGGAGGGAAUACCCGAGCUGUGGCUUGGAUAGACGCAGAUUCCAUAAGUUUGGAGCAGUUUGGAUUCAAAGGAAUUCGAACCAGUCAUCUCUAGCAGGAAGUGACCUUUUGAGAGAAAAAUAUUGUUCUCUAAUUAAACAAUAUGGACCACAA